CACUGCCGAGAAAAGCCUCUAGAUAGAAAAUAGGUGCCCGUACCGCAAACCGACACAGGUAGUCAAGAUGAGAAUUCUAAGGUGAGCGAGCGAACUCUCGUUAAGGAACUCGGCAAAAUGACCCCGUAACUUCGGGAGAAGGGGUGCUCUUUAGGGUUAACGCCCAGAAGAGCCGCAGUGAAUAGGCCCAAGCGACUGUUUAUCAAAAACACAGGUCUCUGCUAAACCGUAAGGUGAUGUAUAGGGGCUGACGCCUGCCCGGUGCUGGAAGGUUAAGAGGAGUGGUUAGCUUCUGCGAAGCUACGAAUCGAAGCCCCAGUAAACGGCGGCCGUAACUAUAACGGUCCUAAGGUAGCGAAAUUCCUUGUCGGGUAAGUUCCGACCCGCACGAAAGGCGUAACGAUUUGGGCACUGUCUCAACGAGAGACUCGGUGAAAUCAUAGUACCUGUGAAGAUGCAGGUUACCCGCGACAGGACGGAAAGACCCCGUGGAGCUUUACUGUAGCCUGAUAUUGAAAUUCGGCACAGCUUGUACAGGAUAGGUAGGAGCCUUUGAAACGUGAGCGCUAGCUUACGUGGAGGCGCUGGUGGGAUACUACCCUAGCUGUGUUGGCUUUCUAACCCGCACCACUUAUCGUGGUGGGAGACAGUGUCAGGCGGGCAGUUUGACUGGGGCGGUCGCCUCCUAAAAGGUAACGGAGGCGCUCAAAGGUUCCCUCAGAAUGGUUGGAAAUCAUUCAUAGAGUGUAAAGGCAUAAGGGAGCUUGACUGCGAGACCUACAAGUCGAGCAGGGUCGAAAGACGGACUUAGUGAUCCGGUGGUUCCGCAUGGAAGGGCCAUCG
rnacentral:rRNA from 1 species